GCACCAUUAUUUGUCUCUCACUGCAGAAGCAAAAGCACCACUAUUCCAUUAGGGGUGUGAUGCUUUCUUAUUACUCCUCUUUGUGGCUUAGGGAUGAUUUAUUUAUCACAAAUAUACACCUGGCCACUCUGUCUUCAGGUGUUUCUGCAAAUAAAAUAACUAGUGUAUUGCCUUUUUUUCUAAGCCAGUUUUGGGGCUCAAACUCAGGCCUGCGUGCUAUCCCUGAGCUUCCUUUGCUCAAGGCCAGUGCUCUACCACUUGAGGCCACAGCUCCAC